rnacentral:rRNA from 1 species
CAGCAGCCGCGGUAAUACGUANGNUGCAAGCGUUANUCGGAAUUACUGGGCGUAAAGCGCGCGCAGGCGGUUGUGCAAGACCGAUGUGAAAUCCCCGGGCUUAACCUGGGAAUGGCAUUGGUGACUGCACGGCUAGAGUGUGUCAGAGGGGGGUAGAAUUCCACGUGUAGCAGUGAAAUGCGUANAGAUGUGGAGGAAUACCGAUGGCGAAGGCAGCCCNCUGGGAUAACACUGACGCUCAUGCACGAAAGCGUGGGNAGCAAACAGGAUUAGACACCCUGGUAGUCCACGCCCUAAACGAUGUCAACUAGUUGUCGGGUCUUAAUUGACUUGGUAACGCAGCUAACGCGUGAANUUGACCGCCUGGGGAGU